GGCCUUCCCAAAUGACCGAUCGGUCAUUUUUCCGAAAAGUCUUGGCUCAGCCCAGACCAGGCAGGUGGACGUGUAGCGGCCCUUUUCGAAAGUCCUGGCUCAGCCCGGACCAGGCAGGCGGACGUGUAGCGGCCCUUUUCGAAUAUGUAGGGGGGGAGCAGCUUUCCACGCCAGUUUGACUCACUUUGGUUGGCGUUGGAGAGUGGUGCCUUGAGGGCUCCCCGCACCUGAUCGAAU